UUUGCAUUACAAUGCUUGGAUAAUUUCAUUGGAUGUUUUGAUCAGAUCCAAAAUAUAUAAAUAUAUACACUGUUGAUCGUUUGCUUUAUUCGAUUCCAACUUUCCUGAUCUUGGUAAUUAAGAUUCGAAGAAUUUCAAGAUGCUGCGUUUAAUUUUGGUAACCAUGUUGGUUGCCAUUACCGCUGCCCAGCGGGAAUUGCCCCCAAUUGCACCAACGUGCAGUUCUGUGGAGCCUCCUAUAGAUACCAAUGGAUUAAACUAUGUUGAAAGCACGAAAUCAGCAGCGCCGACAUUGACAGAUGCGAUGGCUCAACGGCUUUUUACAGGUUCUUCCAGUGAACGUGGAAAAAGAGCUGCAAGAACUUCAACUGAAUUGGCCCGGACCGAAUUGAAAGAUGCCACUGGAAGUAUAAUACUUUCUCAACCCCGAUUCACUGUUAAUCGUGCCACUGAACCACGAUGUCUUUGUCCUCACCGAAAUGAAUUGUUGACAAGCUUCAAAUACAAUGGUGGAUAUUGCCAUGUUCUAUUCCCAGAGUUUCAGGGCAAAUAUUACACCCGGUGUCUGUACAGGAAUUGCUUAACUGGAUGUGUGUCAACAACUAAUGGUCGCCGCAACCUGUGUAGACCCAAAAAAAGCUAUUCGACUGUCUCCGUUUGGUCUAUCUGUCUUACACCAAUAUUCCAUAUCAAGAAAAUUACACUUCGAGUUCCCACAGGUGGAUGUGAAUGUAAAUCUUAUCCACCAAUAUGCCAGUUUCUUAGUCCAUUUACUGUAAGAGUGUAAAAGGUUAAGAGACCACUUUUAACCAUACAAUCGGCAAAAAUAUUCUGACAUUUCGACAUUUUUUAAAAUUUGCUCACAAUGUUUAAUAUAAAGAAAAGCACGAUCAAUAUCAUUGUUAAAUUCAUACCGUACAUUUAAUCAAUUCUUUUCUGUAUACAUGGACAAAUAACUUACAUUCAUAUUUUACUGAUGUGCUAUGUUUUGUUUAAUAUAUUGUCAUUGCUUUAGGUAUAUUUUUGAUCACUUAGUGAAAUAUAUUAUGAAAUGUCGAUAAA